GCGGAAGUGGUGGAAUUGGUAGUCACGCAACGCUAAGGACGUUGUUGGAAUUAAAUCCAGUGAAGGUUCGAGUCCUUUCUUCCGUA
rnacentral:tRNA from 1 species